GACGGUGCUGCCCCUCCAGUGAGGAGCUGCUGAAGGGGAAGGCCACACUCAUGUGCCUGGCCAACAAGGGCUUCCCCUCAGACUGGAGUCUGGCCUGGAAGGUGGACGGCAGCAGCAGCAGCAGCAGCUGGGAGGAGAGCAGGAGCCCCGGGGUGCUGGGGAAGGACGGCAAGUACAGCUGGAGCAGCACCCUGAGGCUCCCUAAAGACCAGUGGGAGAAGGUGGGCUCUGUGACCUGUGAGGCCACCCAGGGCUCCCAGACUCCGCUCUCAGAGACACUGAGGAGAGACCAGUGUUCCCAGUCCUGACCUGACUCACUGGGACUCUGCUACUGGUUUCACUCCUGAUACUGAUCUCAGUC